UACGAAGGGAGCUAGCGUUGUUCGGAAUUACUGGGCGUAAAGGGCGCGUAGGCGGCUUCGAUAGUUGGGCGUGAAAUGCCUGGGCUCAACCCAGGAAUUGCGCUCAAUACUGUGAGGCUCGAGUGUGGGAGAGGAUAGUGGAAUUCCCAGUGUAGAGGUGAAAUUCGUAGAUAUUCGCAAGAACACCAGUGGCGAAGGCGGCUCGACUGGCCCGAUACGUGACGCUGAGGCACGGAAAGCGUGGGGAGCAAACAGG
rnacentral:rRNA from 1 species